GACGAACGCUGGCGGCGUGCUUAACACAUGCAAGUCGAGCGGAAAGGCCACUUCGGUGGUACUCGAGCGGCGAACGGGUGAGUAACACGUGAGUAAUCUGCCCCCCACUUUGGGAUAGCCACCGGAAACGGUGAUUAAUACCGGAUAUGACCAUAUGUCGCAUGGCGUGUGGUGGAAAGUUUUUCGGUGAGGGAUGUGCUCGCGGCCUAUCAGCUUGAUGGUGAGGUAAUGGCUCACCAUGGCUUCGACGGGUAGCCGGCCUGAGAGGGUGACCGGUCACACUGGGACUGAGACACGGCCCAGACUCCUACGGGAGGCAGCAGUGGGGAAUAUUGGACAAUGGGCGGAAGCCUGAUCCAGCAACGCCGCGUGAGGGAUGACGGCCUUCGGGUUGUAAACCUCUUUCAGUACCGACGAAGCGCAAGUGACGGUAGGUACAGAAGAAGCACCGGCCAACUACGUG
rnacentral:rRNA from 1 species